UACCAGCACCCCGAGUGGUCGGGACGAUUAUUGGGCCUAAAGCAUCCGUAGCCGGUUCUACAAGUCUUCCGUUAAAUCCACCUGCUUAACAGAUGGGCUGCGGAGGAUACUAUAGAGCUAGGAGGCGGGAGAGGCAAGCGGUACUUAGUGGGUAGGGGUAAAAUCCGUUGAUCCAUUGAAGACCACCAGUGGCGAAGGCGGACUUGCC
rnacentral:rRNA from 1 species